GACGGAGGGGGCUAGCGUUAUUCGGAAUAACUGGGCGUAAAGGGUGUGUAGGCGGUCCUUUAAGCAAGGUGUGAAAUCUCUGGGCUUAACCCAGAAACUGCGCUUUGAACUGAAGGACUCGAGUGCGAGAGAGGAGAGUGGAAUUUCUAGUGUAGGGGUGGAAUCCAUAGAUAUUAGAAAGAACACCAGAGGCGAAGGCGGCUCUCUGGAUCGCAACUGACGCUGAGACACGAAAGCGUGGGGAGCAAACAGG
rnacentral:rRNA from 1 species